rnacentral:snRNA from 1 species
CUCACUUCUCAGUCUUUUGGCUAAGAUCAAGUGUAGUAUCUAUUCUAAUAAUUUUAAUAAUAAUAGACAAUGUAUCACACAUCACCUGAGAAGAGCAUAACCAUU